CCCUGUGUGGUAUAAUGGUUUGAGUGUUGGAUGAUGGCUCUGGAGACCAGGGUUCAAAUCCCAGCUCAGUCA